rnacentral:rRNA from 1 species
UUUUUAAUUGAUAAUCCACGAUAAAUGUUACCUUAAUUUUAAAUUUACAUAUCGUCGUUAAUAAAAAUUUUAGGAUAUAAUUUUUUCAGAUCAAGGUGUAGUUUAUGUUGAGGUUAAAAUGGGUUACAUUAAUAAGUUAAGAUAAAAUGGAUUUGAUAGUAAGCUCUAAAAUAUGCACAUAUCGCCCGUCGCUUUCACUUUAAAGUGAAAUAAGUCGUAACAAAGUAGGCUUAUUGGAAAAUGAGCCUAGAAUGCAAAUUAGAGCUUGUUAAGCAUUUUAUUUACAUUAAAAAGUUAAUUGUGAAAUUCAAUUUAAUUUGAGCUUAUGAUGUGAUUUUUAUUUAAUGUUUUUUUUUAUUGGGAGAAGAAUAUUUAUUUUUAUUUUUUGUUAGAAAAAAUAAUAUAAUAGUUUAUAGUAUUGUGAAGGAAUUGUUUCGUGUAAAUAAAAGAAGAUUUAAUUUGUCGUACCUUGUGUCUCAGGGUUUAUUAAUUUAAUUUCCCGAAUUUAAAAGAGCUAAUUUUACUGUGGAAUAAGUAUUUUUAAUAAUUUUUUAGUAAUGAAACCGUUAUUCGUUUUUAAAUAUAAUCCUGGUUUUUUAAGAAAUUAAUUCAAUUUAGUUGGCAUAAAUAAGUUUAUAAGGGAUAAGCUUUCAAGUUUAUUUUUAUAAUUAUGUUUUAUUUAAAAAUACAUAGGAUUAGAAUUUUCCAUUGGUUAGAGGAUGUUAUAAUUAAAUAAUUUAGAUUUUUUAUUAAAAUUUUGGUUUUAAUUGUUUUUACUAAGUAAUAAUGGUAAAAUUAGUAAGGUUAUUUUAAGGAAUUCGGCAAAUUUAAUUUUCACCUGUUUAUUAAAAACAUGUCCUUUUGUUUAUAAUUUAAGGUCUGACCUGCCCAAUGAUUUAAUGGCCGCAGUAUUUUGACUGUGCAAAGGUAGCAUAAUCAUUAGUUUCUUAAUUAGAAGCUGGUAUGAAUGGUUUGAUGAAAAAUUGACUGUCUCUAGAAUUUUAUUUUUAAGUGAAAAAGCUUAAAUUUUUUAUAAAGACGAGAAGACCCUAUAGAGUUUUUUUGUUGGGGUGACAUAAAAAUUUAAUUAACUUUUUAUUUGAAUGAUUAAUUGAUCCUAGAUUACAAGAAAAAAUUACCUUAGGGAUAACAGCGUAAUUUUUUUGGAAAGUUCUUAUUG